UACGUAGGGGGCUAGCGUUGUCCGGAAUCAUUGGGCGUAAAGCGCGUGUAGGCGGUCCGGUAAGUCCGCUGUGAAAGUCGAGGGCUCAACCCUCGAAUGCCGGUGGAUACUGUCGGGCUUGAGUACGGGAGAGGCGAGUGGAAUUCCUGGUGUAGCGGUGAAAUGCGCAGAUAUCAGGAGGAACACCGAUUGCGAAGGCAGCUCGCUGGAACGUUACUGACGCUGAGACGCGAAAGCGUGAGGAGCAAACAGG
rnacentral:rRNA from 1 species